GCCCCGUUCGUCUAGUGGCCUAGGACAUCGCCCUCUCACGGCGAAAACAGGGGUUCGAUUCCCCUACGGGGUA
rnacentral:tRNA from 2 species